CCUACGGGGGGCUGCAGUGGGGAAUAUUGGACAAUGGGGGGAACCCUGAUCCAGCCAUGCCGCGUGUGUGAAGAAGGCCCUCGGGUUGUAAAGCACUUUCAGUGAGGAAGAACGCCUGGUAGUUAAUACCCAUCAGGAAAGACAUCACUCACAGAAGAAGCACCGGCUAACUCCGUGUCAGCAGCCGCGGUAAUACGGAGGGUGCGAGCGUUAAUCGGAAUUACUGGGCGUAAAGCGCGCGUAGGUGGCUUGAUAAGCCGGUUGUGAAAGCCCCGGGCUCAACCUGGGAACGGCAUCCGGAACUGUCAAGCUAGAGUGCAGGAGAGGAAGGUAGAAUUCCCGGUGUAGCGGUGAAAUGCGUAGAGAUCGGGAGGAAUACCAGUGGCGAAGGCGGCCUUCUGGACUGACACUGACACUGAGGUGCGAAAGCGUGGGUAGCAAACAGGAUUAGAUACCCCUGUAGUC
rnacentral:rRNA from 1 species